CCUCCCGAUCUCCUCCCUUCCUGGAACCUCCGCUCCUUGAUCUCGCCCUCCUCCCUCUCCUCUGCGCCCGCCGACGUGGGCCGCGUCUCCAUGUCCUCGGCCAUGCCGGCGGCAGCAGCGAUGCGGUCUGGCGUCGGCGUCGACGGAGUUCCCGUCUCAUCGCCUUGCCCAUUAAUCCCGUGUCUGGACCAAGCACGACACCACCUCGGUGUUGCACGCCGCGACAAUGCCCGCCCGGGCUCAAACCCCCCUCCCCCACGAGCUCUUCCUCGACGUGCCGCUCUUUUCGUCCCUUCUCUCCUCCGCUCGCCGCUUGGUCGUAGAACUAGUCAGGGCAGGGGACAACAUGGCCGCCGCCAAGCAGCAGCCGCCGCUAUACAUUGCCGUCGCCGACGACCGCCAGAGGAGCACCUUCCCCUGCACGCGCCCCAUCCUGCAGAGCGCGCUCCAGCUCAUGGGCUGCAAGCCACGCCACACCUUCAAGGUCUGUCUUCCCCCAUCUUGCUUGUCCCACAAUCUGUCAGCUCACUUCUUUUCCCUUGGGUUCAGUCUGAAUCUUUAGAUUAGACUCAGUAUCCUAUCAUCUUUGCCGCAUUCCUGAACCUCCAUAGCAAGCGAUGUAGAUCAGUUUUUUUUGGUAUUCCAUACUCCUCAUAUCCUACUUCAAUUGGCUGAUGGGAUCAGUCUCAUAGUGUUUUUCGUUACAAUUAGGGAGCGCUGUACAUCUGCCUCAUAUCCUGCUUCAAUUGGCUGAACCUACAGAGUGUAUUUAAUUAGUAUGAUGUUCACAGCAGGGGUGGAGCUACUAGGAGCCUCUGAUGCACAGGCAUCAGGGUCGAUGUUGAUUUCUUCAAGCGAUUGUGUAGAGUUGUUUGGCCGUGCACCAGGUUAGGCUGACAGCGCUGCAUCAGGUACAGAGACAAUCCCACGGCGGCCUUGUUUGGAACUGGUUCAUGGGUAGGCCAGGUCUUGUUCAGACGUGGCCAGGCCUUGGCGUAGCCUUGUGGGCUGUAGCCUUUUGGGUACGUUUGGUGUGGCUGGGCAUCAAGGCGUCAAUGCCCUUAGGUGUUGUAGGGUCACGCCAACACGCGAUCACUUGACGAACCACAUCGGAUGGGCGACGCUGCGCUAGGCUCGGUCUUUACACCUAGCAUCAUCCAUGCUAAUCCGAUCAGUCACUGACCUCAGCUCCAGCUCAAAGGUAGAGUAUGACAUAUAGAUGUAGUAAAUCUUAAAUCUCGGGUUAACCAUUGCAAAAAUUGUGCUUUUAGGCGGUAUCUUCUUUAGAUUUUUUUUAGUUCUAUGUACAGGGGUAUUCUGAAGUUGAGAAUUCAGUUCAUUUACUUGACUUUAUCAAAUGUGGAUAGCCACAAGACUGGAGACGCGAGACUUUGUGGUUAGUCUAAUAAUGUUGCAAUAAGUCGCUCCAUCGUCGUAUUUUCCCUCCUUUUUUGCAAUAAUUGUUCAUUCACAUUUUUUCAGAAACUAUUGCCAAUGUACUAAGUCUUAUUCAGAGAUUGUCAAUAUUGUUGGGCGUGUCCUGCUCUCCCUCUUUUAUAUUUGGUUGUUUGGUAUCACACUGAAGGUGCUAGAUGUAAUGUGGACUCAGGGCCAGAACAGAGAAGAACCAGAGCAGCUAGACUCGGGAACGCAGCCGAAAGAACGCCGAUAACCGUAAGAAACAGAAGACAAAACAUAAAAUUGGAUCAAAAUCUUACUCGCAAGUAAGCUUUGAGAAGAGAAACUUGGAACUCACCCACACAAACGACGGAACAUGGUCUAACACAGAGUCCUAGAAAGUUUGCAACAAAGCACGUCAAGAGGUUCAAAACAAAGAAACUGAAACUGAAGGUCCACUUUCAAGUGAGCAGAAAAACAAUAUUUUCCAGACCGCAUACAAAGAGACUCUGAAAUGCAAGUCAUCGCAGCCUUGUGGGUACGGAUACAUGGCCAAACCUUCAACUGGUUCUCAAAGGUUUCGUAUCCAGGUUGAAGAGCAAGCUCGUGCUACAGCAGCCACCCAGCAGCAAAACUCUGAGCUCAGCCAGCAGGUCAACGAAUUACAAGAUCAACUACAAGCUGAACGUGCAAACACACAAGAGAGGAUUAACUUGGAGUGUACUGAGAGAGAACAACUUGAGGAGAGGUUAAAAGAAGAGCAUGCUGAAAGGGAAAGAUUGUUGGAAGAGGAGCGAACAUCAAGACCGGAAUUUGAAAAAAACAUGAUGACAAAGUUUGUAGCAUUGAGCCAACAGAUGGGAACCCAACAGGUGCCUAAGGAUUGACAAAGAAAAUAGUAACCCAAACUUGCAAAAUACACUUUUAUAGAGAUCUAGUCCUAAUAAAACUCCAGUUCAAGGCCAAUUAUUAUUUCUUCAAAUGCGCUCAUACAAGCUGCAACAAGGAAUUCUCGAAUGUUUAAAGCAAUGGUAAGUCACAACCUUACUUUCUCUUCAUGUUCACUUGCAUUUUAUACGUCAUUGGCAUUCAUAACUAGCUAGCUGUUUCUUCUCUUUCACCAUGUGUUGUUGCUGCAUCGAGUCACAACUUAAACAAAAAAUGAAUAUGUGCUAGCUAGGGACAUGAACUUAACUGAAACUAUACAUCGGGUCACAACUUAAAUCAGUAGCAGAACCUUUUAGUAGAUGUACUUGUGCUUAUGCUUUAGACAUUUACACUUGUAUGAUUGUUCUAAUCCCUCAGUUACAUGCUUGCUGACACAGUAUUAGUCUAGUUAGUCUGGCGAUAGUUCCUUUUAACUAUGGGGCUGGAAUAAUUGUAUGGUGUAUGUUAUGUUGGACUCAUUAACUAGAACUUUUUUUAUUUCUUGAUUGCUGGAUCCAAAGAACUAGCUGGCCUGGACUCUAGAUCACGGACCGUUUAGUCUUUGCAAUUAAUUAGGAUGGCUAAAUUAUAUCUGAGUUUCAUUUGAUGAAUAUUUGCUACGAGAAUUAUGAACUUUAUGAAUCUACAUAUUAUACGUAUGGUUUUGAAUAUUGUAAUUGAAUGCAUGUAUUUUUUUUACGGUUGCAAUAUGCUACAACCCACUUUCGGUUGCCACAUGUUAGCACCACCAAAAAAAGUGUUGCGUCAUAUCUCAGUCGAUAUGCCUACUAUUUUGUUGCACUAGGAUGUUGUAACGGAUCACUUCAUAUUGUCUGGCACCACAAAUUUUUUCAUGACGCGAUAACUGUUCGGCGCCACCAAAGUAAUUUUUGUUGAAAUAGAGUAUCACCAUGGAAAUUUUAAAUUGUCGCAAUAGUUUCUCGCUACAAACAUUUCAACUGUUGUGAUACCUAUUUAUCACCACUAAAACAAGUAUGUUGCAAUUUCUUAUUACGACGACAGGAAUAUUUGUUGCCAUAAGUUAAUGCCACAAGUGUAGUGGGUCGUGGCAACAUGCCUAAUGCGGCGAAACCAAGGAUUGUUGCCAUAGUUUAUUGCCACAAUUGUAGUGGGUCGUGGCAACAUGCCUAAUGCUACGAAAACAAGGAUUGUUGCCAUAGUUUUUUGCCACAAGUGUAGUGGGUCGUGGCAACAUGCCUAAUGCCACGAAAAUAGGGAUUGUUGCCAUAGUUUAUUCCCACAGUUGACUAUUGCCAUGGAAGAGUAAUGCUCCACGAAAUGGGCGUCGUUGGCAUAGGUUGUUGCCACAAAUGUCUAUCACCACGAGAUAUUAGGCGCCACGAUUCGUUGCAUGUUGCAUUAAAGCUAUCUCCACAAAUAUAAUUGUGGCAUCAAGUGAGUGUUGCCACGGGAAAACAUGUGGCAACUUCCAACAUGGAUGUUGCAAUAGCACACUUUAUUGCCACGGUUGCUUUUUCGUGGCAAUAACCUAUUACCAUGUGUCCAGUCGCAACAGCUGCCAACGAAUGCCGUUUCGUGGCAAUAGGUACUUAUCGCCACGAAAUGACAUGUAUUGCAACAAACGAUUUUGUUGCAAUAGACCCGGAUCCUUGUAGUGCCCUCUGGUGCUUUUUUUGCCCAAUAUUUUUUAUAUAUUCCAAAAUAAUUCUCCAUGAAAUUUCAGGACUUUUGGAGUUGUGCAGAAUAGGUCUAUAAUAUUUGCUCCUUUUCCGUUCCAGAAUUCCAGCUACAGGCCUUCUCCCUCUUCAUGUAAACCUUGUAAUAAUAGCCCAUAAUGCAAUAAAUAUCAAUAUAAAAGUAUGAUGCAAAAUGGACGUAUCACUCAUUCAUCUUUAUGGAUGAAUGAUGUUGAUGAUUUGUUCAUGAUCAUCAAUACAAGGAGUCGACAAACCUCGAUGAUGAUACUUUAAGUUAGGGGUAAUACCGUAUCGGAUUGAGAUGGAUAAUCCUUAUAUCGUAUCAUUACCAAUAUUUAUUUUCAGAUUCAAAAGCGGAUUUGAUGCCGUAUUUUAGUAAUACCAUAUCAUAUACCGUAUCGUAUCGUAUCAAUGAGACUCGGAUUCAAACAAAAUUGUUGUCGGAUGUAAAAAAUCUCUUACCGUAUCAUAUAAAAACGAAUUCGGGUGGAAAUUAACCUAACCACUUUCACCCUUACUUUAAAUACAAUUGGACCUAACAUUUCAAUAUCAAAUACAUUUCAACACAAUCAUGGUUCAUCAUAGUCCCAAUUAAACAACAUAGUCUUAAUCAUAGAUCAUGGUUCAUCACAAUUUUAGGUCUCAAAAAAAAUGACAACACAAUCUUAACCACAACCAGCGAACAUAAAUAAUAACUGCAUAUUACAAUCACUCAUCACAGAUUUCAUUCAUGCUUGUUCUUAUUAACCUCCCUAGCCUUCAACGGGUCAGAUAUGACACACUCUAGUCUCUUCUUCUCCUUCCUUGACUCACCAAUGCCUUUAGUUGAAUCUUGCCUACCAUUCCAAAUAACUUCUACCUACGCAGCCUGGAUGUGCUUCAACAGAUUAACAUCCUUCUGCAGCUCCAUGUUCCACUUCUUCAGCUCCAAGUUCUCCUUCUUGAGGUCCCUUGCUUAAAGUUCAUUCUUCUGUUCUUCACUUUCAUUCAUAAUCUUCUUGUAAUUCUCCAUUAUGACCUUUUUAGUAGUAUAUUCACACCAAUCUUUGUUAAACUUGAUGUUCAACACAUAUUUCUUCUCUAACGGCUCCUUUUCUUCUGCUAACUUGGACAACUGGUAUGCUUUAACAAUAUUUCCUAUCUUGCUCUUCCCAUGAUCAUCCUAAAGCUUGUCUAGUGCUUUCUUUAGUGUAUCAUGCCAUUAUGCAUUAGCCCAAUCACUCACAACACAACUGAACCCUCCCUGAAAAUAAUUUCUACAAUGAAUAAUCUGUGCACACUAAACUUGUUCACAAUAUGUACAGUGGUUAAUCUCUACACACUGACACUGAAGUAGCUCACAAGAUCUACAAACUUAACUUGUUCUAUUGGCAUAUAUGAGUAUGAAUAGAACGAAUCAUUGUACUAACCUUCUCAGCGUAGCCAAAGAAUCUCCCGCAGAUGUGAUGCCGGUCAAAUGCAACCAACUUCUCAGCCGGCUUGUUGUGGCUGUUGGGGAACGUUGCAGAAAACAAAAAUUUUCCUACUCGUUUCACCAAGAUCCAUCUAUGAGUUCAUCUAGCAA